ACUCCUACGGGAGGCAGCAGUGGGGAAUAUUGGACAAUGGGCGAAAGCCUGAUCCAGCCAUGCCGCAUGAGUGAAGAAGGCCUUUGGGUUGUAAAGCUCUUUUAGUGAGGAAGAUAAUGACGGUACUCACAGAAGAAGUCCUGGCUAACUCCGUGCCAGCAGCCGCGGUAAUACGGAGAGGGCUAGCGUUAUUCGGAAUUAUUGGGCGUAAAGGGCGCGUAGGCUGGUUAAUAAGUUAAAAGUGAAAUCCCGAGGCUUAACCUUGGAAUUGCUUUUAAAACUAUUAAUCUAGAGAUUGAAAGAGGAUAGAGGAAUUCCUGAUGUAGAGGUAAAAUUCGUAAAUAUUAGGAGGAACACCAGUGGCGAAGGCGUCUAUCUGGUUCAAAUCUGACGCUGAAGCGCGAAGGCGUGGGGAGCAAACAGGAUUAGAUACCCUUGUAGUCC
rnacentral:rRNA from 1 species